rnacentral:lncRNA from 1 species
CAAACAUCCAGAGACCUGCCUUUUGUUAUAUGACAUUCCACUUGUUCAGGAAUAGAACUUCUUGAGUUUUCCCUUGCCAUCAGUGGGCUCUUACUCUAUCUUUUUUAUCUUUGGCAGGCUGGUUACUUUGGGCACAGACCUCUUCACUAUUGGACAGAAGAGCCCGACAGCUGUUCUCUCUUAAGGUGUCCUUGAGUGAGGAGAGCAGGGAGUGAAAAAGGAGAAGGAAAGAAAAUUGAUUAAGAAAGGUGGGUACAAAUAACUUUGGAAGGUGAAAUAAAAGGGUUCCCUUGGCAAAUGAGGCUACUAAGCAU